rnacentral:rRNA from 1 species
UACGUAGGGGUCGAGCGUUGUCCGGAGUUACUGGGCGUAAAGCGUGUGCAGGCGGCUCAUUGCGCCCGGCGUGAAAGCCCCCGGCUCAACCGGGGAGAGUCAUCGGGGACGGGUGAGCUUGAGGGUAUCAGGGGCUGGUGGAAUUCCCGGUGUAGUGGUGAAAUGCGUAGAUAUCGGGAGGAACACCCGUGGCGAAGGCGGCCAGCUGGGAUACACCUGACGCUGAGACACGAAGGCGUGGGGAGCGAACGGG